rnacentral:lncRNA from 1 species
GUCAAAUAAUAGAAUUCAGAGACACAGAAACUGUUUGUAUGUCAUAGGAAUUCACCAUUUUGCUAUAUGUCGGUUUGGUAGUUUGAUAUCAUAUACAAUAAUGAAAUUUAAUCAAUAUGAAUUAAAUUUAUUUAUUGAAUUGAUAAGACUUGGAUUUGUCUCCCUUUUUAUGUUUUGAUUGUUGCAAGCGACACUAAAACCGGUUGUAUAAUACAAAUUUUUUCUGUUCAUAAGCGAUACGCAAUUAUCUCGUGCAUUUAUAGGCGGGAAUUUCAAUAUAAAACCAGUUGUUUCGGUAAUGUUAUUUCAUUCUUUAACAAACUGUAGACGGGUGCAAGGACAAAAACCCACCACACCCUACCCCAAUUAAAUAUUUGUUUGCUGCCGUUAUGAUUUAUAAUUACAGAUUUUGUA